GGCUUGAUAGCCCAGGUAAUAGAGCGUCGUGUUAGUUACGCGAAAGUUGUGAGUUCAAAUCUCACUCAAGCCA
rnacentral:tRNA from 1 species